rnacentral:rRNA from 1 species
AUUGAACGCUGGCGGCAGGCCUAACACAUGCAAGUCGAACGAGUGGCGGACGGGUGAGUAAUGUCUGGGAAACUGCCUGAUGGAGGGGGAUCACUACUGGAAACGGUAGCUAAUACCGCAUACCAUCGGAUGUGCCCAGAUGGGAUUAGCUUGUUGGUGGGGUAACGGCUAACCAAGGCGACGAUCCCUAGCUGGGCUGCGAGGAUGACCAGCCAAACUGGAACUGAGACACGGUCCAGAUUCCUACGUGAGGCAGCAGUGGGGAAUAUUGCACAAUGGGCGCAAGCCUGAUGCAGCCAGGCCGCGUGUAUGAAGAAGGCCUUCGGGUUGUAAAGUACUUUCAGCGGGGAGGCAUUACCCGCAGAAGAAGCACCGGCUAACUCCGUGCCAGCAGCCGCGGUAAUUC